rnacentral:rRNA from 1 species
GACGAACCGAGCGAACGUUGUUCGGGAUCACUGGGCUUAAAGGGCGCGUAGGCGGGCAUCAUAGUCUGUGGUGAAAUCCGGCAGCUUAACUGUCGAAUUGCCAUGGAUACUGGAUGUCUCGAGGGAGGCAGGGGUGCGCGGAACUAAUGGUGGAGCGGUGAAAUGCGUUGAUAUCAUUAGGAACUCCGGUGGCGAAGGCGGCGCACUGGUCCUUUUCUGACGCUGAGGCGCGAAAGCCAGGGGAGCAAACGGG